GUUUUUAUCAUGAAUGAACAUUGAAUCUUUUCAAAUGUUUUUUCUGUGUCUAUUAAGAUGAUCAUAUAAUUCUUUUCUUUCAUUCUAUUAAGGUGAUGUAUCACACAGAUUGAUUCAUGUAUGUUAAACCAUCCUUGCAUCCCAGAGAUAAAUCCCACCUGAUCGUGAAUGUGGUAUAUCUUGGUGAAUGUUCCAAGGAUCUUGAGAAGAAUGGCAAAAAUACUGACAACUGGGAAUAAAGGGGACAAGAAAAAAAGCAGGAGAAAUAAAGGAAGGCUGUUGGACUUAGAUCCUGCAAGAAUAGACAAUUGAGCUAUUCUGCUGUGAACAUGCAUUAUUCUUCAAGAAAAGGAAAGAAUGAGUCCAAAAGCAAUUUAAAAAUCACCAGGGUUGCUUCCUCCAUUUCAAAGAGUGGAGCCAUUGCCUCAGUUUCAACAGGCCAGACAGCCUUUCACCAAAGGCUCGGGGGCAGAGCCACCCUACAGAGCCUUGGGGGUGGGACUCCCGUCCAGCAGAACCCUGGGAGAGUGAUCCACCCCUGGUAGAGCCUUGCCUGGCAGAGCUGCAGAGGUGCAACUGUCACCCCAAUGGAUCCUGAAGAGAGACUGCCAACCCACUGGCCCAGAAGACAGGGGAUCAAACCAAAGAGGAUUGCUCGCAAGCCUUAAGAUUAGAAUUUGCCUUGCUAUGUUUUGGACCCAUCACCUAUUCCUUUCUUACUUCUACCUUUUUGAAUGGGAAUACCUAUCCUAUGCCUGUCCCACCAUUGUAUUUUGGAAGCACCUACCUAUCUGGUUUCACAGGUUCACAGAAGAGGAAUUUUUCCUCAGGAUAAAUCAUACCUAGACUCUCACUUGUAUCUGAUCUAGAUGAUAUUUAGAUGAGGCUUUGGUCUUUAGAGUUUAUGCUGGAAUGAAUUAAAAGGCUUGAGGUUGUUGGGAUGGAAUGAAUGUAUUUGCAUGCAAGGACAUGAAUUUUACAGGCCUGGGGCAGAAUUUUAUGGACUAAAUCUGUGUCCCUCCAAAAUUCAUAUAUUGAAGCCCUAACCCCCAGUGUGGCUGUAUUUGGAGACAGGGCCUGUUAGGUGAUAAAGGUCAAAUGACGUCUCAAGGGUGGGGCACUAAUCCAAUAGGGCUGGUACCUUAUAAGAGACUACAGAGCUUGCUCCCUCUCUCCUUCCUCCUCCCCUCCCUGCCAUGUGAGUUCACAGCAAGAAGGCAGCCAUCCACAAGCUUCUGGAAGAACACUCUCACCAGAAACCAAAUCAGCCAGUACCUUGAUCAUGGACAUCUCAGCCUCCAAAACUGAGAGAAAUAAAUUUCUGCCACUUAACCAGUCUUUGAU
rnacentral:lncRNA from 1 species